rnacentral:rRNA from 1 species
CGUUGACCUCGAAUCAGGUAGGACUACCCGCUGAACUUAAGCAUAUCAA